UCACUGUGAUGAUUGUGUUCCAGACAUUCGUAGUUUCCACCAGAAAGGUUUUUCCUUUUGUGUUGGUUCAGCCCUUCCUUGGAUGUCUGAGUGA